UUAACUGAAUUGAACAUGGUUUCAACUUUCACCCAGACGACUUAUGCCGUAGCCCAUAGCAACUUUUGACGAGCUGCUGACGACGGGAGGUGAAGAAGUCGGUGCUCUUUCAGAGUGACGAACGUCGAGAAUAUUUCCUUCUGCAACGAACAUUCCGUACCUUGCAUGACUUUGUAGAAGUACUAUCAGUGGAAGAGAAGAGAAGUUGUUUUUUCAACAAUGGAAGAUGAGCAAGAUCAGAAAAGUCAUCAAGUUAAAUUAUGGUGCCUUGGCCUAUUUAGAAGAAUUGGCAUGUGAUAUUUUGGAAAUUCCAGUAUCCACUCUAGCAUCCAAGGGAACAUUUAAUACUGGGGGUAGAAUAGUUGAUCAGUAUCAUACUUCAUUACUUCCAGAGACGAUGGAGGCUCUAGUUUAUGGGCAAGAUUGGUUAGAAGCUCCAACUACAAGAAAAUUGGAUCUUGAAGCAGCUGCUACCUCUCCUAUAUGUGUGGCUUCUGCAACUAUAACUAACUGAACAUGAUAUUGGGGCAUAUGCCAUGCAUCUAGGUUGGACAUUUUUUCUUCACUGGAAAAUCAGCUGGGAGUUUAGAAGCAAGAGCAGACAGGAUAUUUGUUUCCUGGAAGGUGGUUGUAGAGGUUACAUGUUUGCAUCGAAGGUUUUUGAGGAGCUUGAGUCCGGCAUGAUGUUUGUUGAACUAAUGAGUAUGGUGUGUAAAGAAGGAUUUCUAGUACAAUCAGUUGCCUCACAGAAGGGUCAAUUGAUUAGGUUGAUUCAUGGUGAAUUUUCAUAACUGACCCAUCGAUUGGAUGGUUUGUAUUGAUGGGCAUGAUUGCAGCAUGUAUCCUAAGGAAAAUCUUAGUCUUGUAAAAUACCCUUUUUGCAAGUCUUAAUUAAAAAAAAAAAAUCAUAGAAUAGAGUCCAUCCUUAAGUUUAAUGGAUAA